CUCUAAACGUGAAGAAGAAAUCCCCCCAAUAACGAGACAGAAGCUCCGCAUUGAGGGUCAAACAGGAUCUGGCUUUACUGUGGGCUACCUGCGAAUGACUCCAUGGGAAGGCUAUCUGGGUUAAGUCCUUUCGUAUGCUUCAAACCUCCCAAACGGCCGGUAUUCGUAUGCUUUCGUGGAGGCAGCCAGGCGCUCCGUUGUUUCAGCGGUGUUCGGCAGAAAAACUGUCCGUUUUUAGUUCCAUAGAAAUAGAGCCAAACACCGCUGGGCUUUCGCGUGGUUUAAAAUGGCCGCUGCCUCGUGGUCGACAUAUGAACGACGACCACCCUGAAUUCGGUUUAAUUGAGAAGUGUCUGCGGUUAACC